GAUGAACGCUGGCGGCGUGCCUAAUACAUGCAAGUCGAGCGAACAGACGAGGAGCUUGCUCCUUUGACGUUAGCGGCGGACGGGUGAGUAACACGUAGGUAACCUACCUAUAAGACUGGGAUAACUUCGGGAAACCGGAGCUAAUACCGGAUAAUAUUUCGAACCGCAUGGUUCGAUAGUGAAAGAUGGCUUUGCUAUCACUUAUAGAUGGACCUGCGCCGUAUUAGCUAGUUGGUAAGGUAACGGCUUACCAAGGCAACGAUACGUAGCCGACCUGAGAGGGUGAUCAGCCACACUGGAACUGAGACACGGUCCAGACUCCUACGGGAGGCAGCAGUAGGGAAUCUUCCGCAGUGGGCGAAAGCCUGACGGAGCAACGCCGCGUGAAUGAUGAAGGUCUUCGGAUCGUAAAACUCUGUUAUUAGGGAAGAACAAACGUGUAAGUAACUGUGCACGUCUUGACGGUACCUAAUCAGAAAGCCACGGCUAACUACGUG
rnacentral:rRNA from 1 species